UACGGAGGGAGCUAGCGUUGUUCGGAAUUACUGGGCGUAAAGCGCACGUAGGCGGUUAUUCAAGUCAGAGGUGAAAGCCCGGGGCUCAACCCCGGAACUGCCUUUGAAACUAGAUGACUGGAAUCUUGGAGAGGUCAGUGGAAUUCCGAGUGUAGAGGUGAAAUUCGUAGAUAUUCGGAAGAACACCAGUGGCGAAGGCGACUGACUGGACAAGUAUUGACGCUGAGGUGCGAAAGCGUGGGGAG
rnacentral:rRNA from 1 species